ACGGAAGGCAGCAGUAGGGAAUAUUGCACAAUGGGGGGAACCCUGAUGCAGCGACGCCGCGUGAGCGAUGAAGCAUUUCGGUGCGUAAAGCUCUAUCAGCAGGGAAGACAAUGACGGUACCUGACUAAGAAGCCCCGGCUAACUACGUGCCAGCAGCCGCGGUAAUACGUAGGGGGCAAGCGUUAUCCGGAUUUACUGGGUGUAAAGGGAGUGUAGGUGGCCUGGCAAGUCAGAUGUGAAAGCCCGCGGCUCAACCGCGGGACUGCAUUUGAAACUGUCAGGCUGGAGUGCAGGAGGGGAAAGCGGAAUUCCUAGUGUAGCGGUGAAAUGCGUAGAUAUUAGGAAGAACACCGGCGGCGAAGGCGGCUUUCUGGACUGUAACUGACACUGAGGCUCGAAAGCGUGGGGAGCAAACAGGAUUAGAUACCCUGGUA
rnacentral:rRNA from 2 species